rnacentral:rRNA from 1 species
GACGAACGCUGGCGGCGUGCUUAACACGUGCAAGUCGAACGGUAAGGCCCUUCGGGGUACACGAGUGGCGAACGGGUGAGUAACACGUGGGUGAUCUGCCCUGCACUUCGGGAUAAGCCUGGGAAACUGGGUCUAAUACCGGAUAGGACUCCGGACUGCAUGGUCUGGGGUGGAAAGCUUUUGCGGUGUGGGAUGGGCCCGCGGCCUAUCAGCUUGUUGGUGGGGUGAUGGCCUACCAAGGCGACGACGGGUAGCCGGCCUGAGAGGGUGACCGGCCACACUGGGACUGAGAUACGGCCCAGACUCCUACGGGAGGCAGCAGUGGGGAAUAUUGCACAAUGGGCGCAAGCCUGAUGCAGCGACGCCGCGUGAGGGAUGACGGCCUUCGGGUUGUAAACCUCUUUCAGCAUCGACGAAGCGAAAGUGACGGUAGGCGCAGAAGAAGGACCGGCCAACUACGUGCCAGCAGCCGCCGUAA